rnacentral:rRNA from 1 species
AGCGUACACGGUGGAUGCCCUGGCAGUCAGAGGCGAUGAAGGACGUGCUAAUCUGCGAUAAGCGUCGGUAAGGUGAUAUGAACCGUUAUAACCGGCGAUUUCCGAAUGGGGAAACCCAGUGUGUUUCGACACACUAUCAUUAACUGAAUCCAUAGGUUAAUGAGGCGAACCGGGGGAACUGAAACAUCUAAGUACCCCGAGGAAAAGAAAUCAACCGAGAUUCCCCCAGUAGCGGCGAGCGAACGGGGAGGAGCCCAGAGCCUGAAUCAGUGUGUGUGUUAGUGGAAGCGUCUGGAAAGGCGCGCGAUACAGGGUGACAGCCCCGUACACAAAAAUGCACAUGCUGUGAGCUCGAUGAGUAGGGCGGGACACGUGGUAUCCUGUCUGAAUAUGGGGGGACCAUCCUCCAAGGCUAAAUACUCCUGACUGACCGAUAGUGAACCAGUACCGUGAGGGAAAGGCGAAAAGAACCCCGGCGAGGGGAGUGAAAAAGAACCUGAAACCGUGUACGUACAAGCAGUGGGAGCACGCUUCGGCGUGUGACUGCGUACCUUUUGUAUAAUGGGUCAGCGACUUAUAUUCUGUAGCAAGGUUAACCGAAUAGGGGAGCCGAAGGGAAACCGAGUCUUAACUGGGCGUUAAGUUGCAGGGUAUAGACCCGAAACCCGGUGAUCUAGCCAUGGGCAGGUUGAAGGUUGGGUAACACUAACUGGAGGACCGAACCGACUAAUGUUGAAAAAUUAGCGGAUGACUUGUGGCUGGGGGUGAAAGGCCAAUCAAACCGGGAGAUAGCUGGUUCUCCCCGAAAGCUAUUUAGGUAGCGCCUCGUGAAUUCAUCUCCGGGGGUAGAGCACUGUUUCGGCAAGGGGGUCAUCCCGACUUACCAACCCGAUGCAAACUGCGAAUACCGGAGAAUGUUAUCACGGGAGACACACGGCGGGUGCUAACGUCCGUCGUGAAGAGGGAAACAACCCAGACCGCCAGCUAAGGUCCCAAAGUCAUGGUUAAGUGGGAAACGAUGUGGGAAGGCCCAGACAGCCAGGAUGUUGGCUUAGAAGCAGCCAUCAUUUAAAGAAAGCGUAAUAGCUCACUGGUCGAGUCGGCCUGCGCGGAAGAUGUAACGGGGCUAAACCAUGCACCGAAGCUGCGGCAGCGACACUGUGUGUUGUUGGGUAGGGGAGCGUUCUGUAAGCCUGUGAAGGUGUACUGUGAGGUAUGCUGGAGGUAUCAGAAGUGCGAAUGCUGACAUAAGUAACGAUAAAGCGGGUGAAAAGCCCGCUCGCCGGAAGACCAAGGGUUCCUGUCCAACGUUAAUCGGGGCAGGGUGAGUCGACCCCUAAGGCGAGGCCGAAAGGCGUAGUCGAUGGGAAACAGGUUAAUAUUCCUGUACUUGGUGUUACUGCGAAGGGGGGACGGAGAAGGCUAUGUUGGCCGGGCGACGGUUGUCCCGGUUUAAGCGUGUAGGCUGGUUUUCCAGGCAAAUCCGGAAAAUCAAGGCUGAGGCGUGAUGACGAGGCACUACGGUGCUGAAGCAACAAAUGCCCUGCUUCCAGGAAAAGCCUCUAAGCAUCAGGUAACAUCAAAUCGUACCCCAAACCGACACAGGUGGUCAGGUAGAGAAUACCAAGGCGCUUGAGAGAACUCGGGUGAAGGAACUAGGCAAAAUGGUGCCGUAACUUCGGGAGAAGGCACGCUGAUAUGUAGGUGAAGUCCCUUGCGGAUGGAGCUGAAAUCAGUCGAAGAUACCAGCUGGCUGCAACUGUUUAUUAAAAACACAGCACUGUGCAAACACGAAAGUGGACGUAUACGGUGUGACGCCUGCCCGGUGCCGGAAGGUUAAUUGAUGGGGUUAGCGGUAACGCGAAGCUCUUGAUCGAAGCCCCGGUAAACGGCGGCCGUAACUAUAACGGUCCUAAGGUAGCGAAAUUCCUUGUCGGGUAAGUUCCGACCUGCACGAAUGGCGUAAUGAUGGCCAGGCUGUCUCCACCCGAGACUCAGUGAAAUUGAACUCGCUGUGAAGAUGCAGUGUACCCGCGGCAAGACGGAAAGACCCCGUGAACCUUUACUAUAGCUUGACACUGAACAUUGAGCCUUGAUGUGUAGGAUAGGUGGGAGGCUUUGAAGUGUGGACGCCAGUCUGCAUGGAGCCGACCUUGAAAUACCACCCUUUAAUGUUUGAUGUUCUAACGUUGACCCGUAAUCCGGGUUGCGGACAGUGUCUGGUGGGUAGUUUGACUGGGGCGGUCUCCUCCUAAAGAGUAACGGAGGAGCACGAAGGUUGGCUAAUCCUGGUCGGACAUCAGGAGGUUAGUGCAAUGGCAUAAGCCAGCUUGACUGCGAGCGUGACGGCGCGAGCAGGUGCGAAAGCAGGUCAUAGUGAUCCGGUGGUUCUGAAUGGAAGGGCCAUCGCUCAACGGAUAAAAGGUACUCCGGGGAUAACAGGCUGAUACCGCCCAAGAGUUCAUAUCGACGGCGGUGUUUGGCACCUCGAUGUCGGCUCAUCACAUCCUGGGGCUGAAGUAGGUCCCAAGGGUAUGGCUGUUCGCCAUUUAAAGUGGUACGCGAGCUGGGUUUAGAACGUCGUGAGACAGUUCGGUCCCUAUCUGCCGUGGGCGCUGGAGAACUGAGGGGGGCUGCUCCUAGUACGAGAGGACCGGAGUGGACGCAUCACUGGUGUUCGGGUUGUCAUGCCAAUGGCACUGCCCGGUAGCUAAAUGCGGAAGAGAUAAGUGCUGAAAGCAUCUAAGCACGAAACUUGCCCCGAGAUGAGUUCUCCCUGACUCCUUGA